AUAAAAGUUGUUUUAAAAAGGAUAUGUUUUUAAAGAUGAGGAAUACUUUAACAAAUCAUUUUUCUGUUUUAUGUUACAACAUAAAAUACAUUUGUGGUCACAAAUCAUUCACACUCAUCAUGGACAUGAAUGCCAUGAUAAUUCUGGGCUUUUAAUUAUUUCUUAGAACUGUUCAUUUUCCCAGAUGGAGUCAUUGGAGUCAGAAAACAAGAAUUUGGUGCCCACGUUUCAAAGUACUUUUAUUUUUCUCCAAUCCGCAUACACACACCCCGACUACUAUUUGGUCCUUUAGCAAGUUGCACCUCAACCAGAUGCUUUUAGCAGCCAUAAACAAGCUUCUGUAUAAUUGUGGUUUAAUAUUUGAUCACUCUUCUUGGCAGAAUUGGUAGAGUUCAUUUUAAUUAGUUGGGUUCCUGGCACGAAUGGAUUUUAUGCACAGUCCACAAAUGUUCAGUAGGGUUGAGGUCAGGGCUUUGGGAAGGCUGUUUCAGAAGUUUAUUGUUAGCCUAAUUUAUUGAUUCCAAAAUCAGUUUUGAUGUGUAUUUGUGACUGUGCCAAAAUAGCUCAAUCUUUGUCUCGUCUGACCAUACAAUUAAACUUUUCUCCUGAAGUCAUUUGACGUAUUAAUUGGGCAGAUCCAAAUUUUAGUCAAGAUCGAAGGUGUUGAGUUUGGAGCAAGGGCUUUAUUCUUGUUGGUACCCUCAGUUUGCUCUCAUCUGAGGGUGACAGUUUGGAUUUUUUACCAGUACUUGGCAAAGCGGUGACACAUUCGAAUAACUUAUCGUUAUGUACAACUAAUUGAACUGAUUACUGUGGACUGGCAGGUGUUUAGAAAUGCCUCCAAGAGACUUUCCUGGGAAAAUGCAAUGAAUGAAAUAAAUGAGGUCCUUUCAAAUCUUAAAUAUUAGUUGGUGGAAUUUGAAAGACAACAAUUCUACUCUACAAUGUAUACAGUAGAUUUUGUAUAAUGACCGGUCCCUAUAAAAUCCUAUAAAUACUGGAAAACAUUGUUUUUGUGUGGCUGAUGUAAUGUUUAUAAUUUGCAGUCAUCCUGAUUAAUCUAAAACAGUGACAACAUGCAC
ensembl:lncRNA